rnacentral:rRNA from 1 species
AACGAACGCUGGCGGCAGGCCUAACACAUGCAAGUCGAGCGCCCGCAAGGGAGCGGCAGACGGGUGAGUAACGCGUGGGAAUUUACCCCGAGGUACGGAACAACUCGGCGAAAGCUGAGCUAAUACCGUAUGUGACCGAGAGGUGAAAGAUUUAUCGCCUCGGGAUGAGCCCGCGUCGGAUUAGCUAGUUGGUGGGGUAAUGGCCCACCAAGGCGACGAUCCGUAGCUGGUCUGAGAGGAUGAUCAGCCACACUGGGACUGAGACACGGCCCAGACUCCUACGGGAGGCAGCAGUGGGGAAUAUUGGACAAUGGGGGCAACCCUGAUCCAGCCAUGCCGCGUGAGUGAUGAAGGCCUUAGGGUUGUAAAGCUCUUUCGCCCGCGAAGAUAAUGACGGUAGCGGGAGAAGAAGCCCCGGCUAACUUCGUGCCAGCCGCCGCAGUAACAC